rnacentral:lncRNA from 1 species
CUGCUAUCUUCAGCUUCCACAUGCUGAGGUCUUCUCUUUUUCUCUCUUCGUUCAGCUGAUUAUAUUGGAACUCUCCUGUACUGUCCUUCCUGAUGAUCAUGCAAAUGAACAAGUAAAACAACCCGCACAAGAAAAUGAUGAAUGAGUUGCCAGUUGCCACAAACCAAAAGUCAUCGAUAAACAAGGUCGCUAUAUACCCAUGAACUAUGCUUGUUCUCUAAGGUUAUGUCACCAUGUGCAUGCAUAUCGCAUUAUAGAUAUCAAAAUAUAUCCCGCAGCGAUCUUGGUUUAGCAUGGCUAACGCAUGAACUUAUCACACAGACAGAUAGAGAGAGACACCUCUUUUGACUGUGAGGGAUACGUGAGAGUUGUUGAGAAAAUAAUCAAGCUUCCUUUCCAAAACCAAGUGUUGCUGUGGUCUUCAGGAGAAGAAAGGGACCUCUAUUUAUACAAUUUCUUCAUGUUUUGUCUCGACUUUUCAGUAAAGCAACUGGGCCAUGUCCUUGAACUUAGCGAUGUCGAGGACGACAAGGAAAGACGGGCUACUGGUGCCGUAUCAAUAUGGCUUUCCACGCUCAUAACUGAAAUAA